rnacentral:rRNA from 1 species
UGACUCCUUGAGGGUCCUGAAGGAACGUUGAAGACGACGACGUUGAUAGGCCGGGUGUGUAAGCGCAGCGAUGCGUUGAGCUAACCGGUACUAAUGAACCGUGAGGCUUAACCUUACAACGCCGAAGGUGUUU